UACGGAGGGUGCAAGCGUUGCUCGGAAUUACUGGGCGUAAAGCGCGUGUAGGCGGUUUCGUGUGUCUGGCGUGAAAGCCCCGGGCUUACCCCGGGAAGUGCGUUGGAAACUGCGAAACUCGAGUCCCGGAGAGGAAGGUGGAAUUCCAGGUGUAGCGGUGAAAUGCGUAGAUAUCUGGAAGAACACCGGUGGCGAAGGCGGCCUUCUGGACGGUGACUGACGCUGAGACGCGAAAGCGUGGGGAGCAAACAGG
rnacentral:rRNA from 1 species